rnacentral:rRNA from 1 species
GGGAACUUGCCUGGUAGUAGGGAAUAACCAGUGGAAACAUUGGGCAACACCCUAUACGCCCUGAGGGGGAAAAUUUAUUGCUAUCAGAUAGGCCCGCGUUAGAUUAGCUAGUUGGUGGGGUAAUGGCCUACCAAGGCGACGAUCUAUAGCUGGUCUGAGAGGAUGAUCAGCCACACUGGAACUGAGACACGGUCCAGACUCCUACGGGAGGCAGCAGUGAGGAAUAUUGGACAAUGGGCGAAAGCCUGAUCCAGCCAUACCGCAUGAGUGAUGAAGGCCCUUGGGUUGUAAAGCUCUUUUAGUGGGGAAGAUAAUGACGGUACCCACAGAAGAAGUCCCGGCUAACUCCGUGCCAGCAGCCGCGGUAAUACGGAGGGGGCUAGCG